UCCAAGAAAAUUUAAACAUGUGAACUUCCUACAACUCCCCUUUCAUCCUCCCAUGUCACCAGCAUUUCGUCAGAUUGCUGUAGCAACUCAGGCCUAUGCUGUCUCCCGAUCUCUCUUUGCCAAUCCCGUUGUGACACUGCGUCUUGGAGCAAUCUGUUCCUGUCCAUAAACAAUGGGCCUACUUGACGUGGUUGUAUCCACAGCCUCUUGAGCUGCUAAAGCUGCAGAACGAUGUGUGGGGGAAGACAGUGUUUUGCAGGUGGCCUCAUACAUCUCAGGGUUAACCAGCUCAGACAGGGUUUACACAAUCCAGCCAAGGACUUCAGGAGCCCCUGUGCAGCCUUCUGGCAACUCAGUCCACCAAAAUCCUUCUAACAGCCUGGAUCCCAACCACAACAUGUUCCAAACGUGCUGCUGAGGAAAAUCGUAUGCAUCGUGCCAUUUAAUACAAUUUUAACUCCAUUAUCCUUUAAAAAUGCAUCAUACAUGUCUACUGCUUGCAAAAGUUAUCUGUAUUAUAUCAUUUGUA